rnacentral:rRNA from 1 species
UACGGAGGGGGCUAGCGUUGUUCGGAAUUACUGGGCGUAAAGCGCACGUAGGCGGAUUAUUAAGUCGGGGGUGAAAUCCCGGGGCUCAACCCCGGAACUGCCCUCGAUACUGGUAGUCUAGAGUUCUGGAGAGGUGAGUGGAAUUCCGAGUGUAGAGGUGAAAUUCGUAGAUAUUCGGAGGAACACCAGUGGCGAAGGCGGCUCACUGGCCAGACACUGACGCUGAGGUGCGAAAGCGUGGGGAGCAAACAGG